UGACAUAGUGCUGCCACUCUGUGGUGUUAUGGGGUACUACAGUAUUUGGUGGUACUGUCUCUCUGUGGUGUUAUGGGGUACUACAGUAUUUGGUGGUACUGUCUCUCUGUGGUGUUAUGGGGUACUACAGUAUUUGGUAGUGUGGACCUCAUUAUCAAGUCAUGUGAACCAUAAUGUGACAGGUGAAUUAAGUAGAUUGUUGUUUUUUCCCACGCAUUCCUAUUCUGGUAAAUGUAAAAAAUAUUUUGAUACUCACAAUAACAUGCAUUUGGGUCAACAUGUCUUUGACUGCAUUUAUCUAUGACUGAAAACAUGCAAUGGAUAUUGUUUGACCUUACACCGUGAUCAAGCUACUUUGACUCCUAAAGGUACAGUCAUGGGGCAGACCUGUUAAUGUUUAACUACUGUAGUAAAAUCCUCAGUGUAGCAAUAAACACACGUGUUUCCUGAUACAUGCAUUGACAAAGUCUUAAGUGAACAAAUAAUACACUCCCUCAUCAUUAGGUCAUAAAAUAACUCCUUAUCAAUGAUGAACCUUGAUUCGUGAUUGGACACAACUGUUGGUUGUUUUUCAGAAUCUCCUUGUCUCCAACACAGUCAAGUUGCUACUCCUCUGGAUAUCCCAUUGUUCCUCCACUGGACCUAAUUAAACACUGAGUAUGAAAUGACUUUCACGGUGUAGUUGUAGGAAAUGUAAACUGUUCUGUUCUAAUGUUGCAUUAAUAUAGAACUAUUCAUGAAAAUACUGUGUAAAAAAAAGUGUGUUUCUACGUCAUACAUUGUUUCAAGCCACUCCUUGCAACAUCUGAUGUGAGAUUCAUGUGAGAUGUAUUAUAUUUUUUAGGUUAGUAUAAGGAGUCGGUGUUAUUCCUCAAGCAUCAAUAGGGUAUAUCAUUAAUUGAAAAGACAUUUGAACAGCAGUAAAUAUAGCAGAUUGUAACUAACAUAACACUUGGCCUCCAGUUCUCCUUACUGUACCUCCCUAAAGCUGAAGUGUGCAGUAGUUGCUGAAUUCCCCAUGGAAUACACAAUGAUUGAUGAUCGAAUACUGAGGAAGUGAAGUUGUACUGAUAACAAUUAAAAGUAUAAUUUCUCAAUGAAACCCUGUUUUGAAUCCAGUGUCUCUUAUGGGCUGCAAAUUUUAUUUGUCACAUACACAUGGUUAGCAGAUGUUAAUGUGAGUGUAGCGAAAUGCUUGUGCUUCUAGUUCCGACAAUGCAGUAAUAACCAAGUAAUCUAACUAAGAAUUCCAAAACUACUGUCUUAUACACUGUGUAAGGGGAUAAAGAAUAUGUACAUAAGGAUAUAUGAGUGAUGGUACAGAGCAGCAUAGGCAAGAUACAGUAGAUGGUAUCGAGUACAGUAUAUACAUAUGAGAUGAGUAUGUAAACAAAGUGGUUAGUGAUACAUGUAUUACAUAAGGAUGCAGUCGAUGAUAUAGAGUACAGUAUAUACGUAUGCAUAUGAGAUGAAUAAUGUAGGGUAAGUAACAUUAUUUAAGGUAGCAUUGUUUAAAGUGGCUAGUGAUAUAUUUACAUUUCCCAUCAAUUCCCAUUAUUAAAGUGGCGGGAGGUUUGAGUCAGUGUCAAGUGUGUUGGCAGCAGCCACUCAA
rnacentral:lncRNA from 1 species